rnacentral:rRNA from 1 species
UACGUAUGGGGCAGGCGUUAUCCGGAUUUGCUGGGUGUAAAGGGAGCGUAGGCGGCGGGGCAAGCCUGAUGUGAAAGCCCGGGGCUCAACCCCGGGACUGCAUUGGGAACUGCCCUGCUGGAGUGCCGGAGGGGCAGGCGGAAUUCCUAGUGUAGCGGUGAAAUGCGUAGAUAUUAGGAGGAACACCAGUGGCGAAGGCGGCCUGCUGGACGGUGACUGACGCUGAGGCUCGAAAGCGUGGGGAGCAAACAGG